rnacentral:rRNA from 1 species
GACAGAGGGUGCAAACGUUGUUCGGAAUUACUGGGCGUAAAGCGUGUGUAGGCGGCCUUGCAAGUCGGAUGUGAAAGCCCCGGGCUCAACCCGGGAAGUGCCCCCGAUACUGCUAGGCUCAAGUACCGGAGAGGUUGGUGGAAUUCUCGGUGUAGAGGUGAAAUUCGUAGAUAUCGAGAGGAACACCGGUGGCGAAGGCGGCCUUCUGGACGGUGACUGACGCUGAGGCGCGAAAGCGUGGGGAGCAAACGGG